rnacentral:rRNA from 1 species
GGAACCGGUGGAACGAGCGGCGGACGGGUGAGUAACACGUGGGCAACCUGCCGGACGGAUGGGAAUAACCCCGGGAAACCGGGGCUAAUGCCCAAUACGCCCUGACCUCGCCUGAGGUCAGCGGUAAAGCAGGGAUCUUCGGAUCCUUGCACAGUCCGAUGGGCCCGCGGCGCAUUAGCUAGUUGGAGAGGUAAGGGCUCCCCAAGGCGACGAUGCGUAGCCGACCUGAGAGGGUGAUCGGCCACACUGGGACUGAGACACGGCCCAGACUCCUACGGGAGGCAGCAGUAGGGAAUCAUCCGCAAUGGGCGAAAGCCUGACGGUGCAACGCCGCGUGAGUGAUGAAGGUUUUCGGAUCGUAAAGCUCUGUUGACAGGGAAGAACCCACGCCAGUCGAACAGGCUGGCGUGCUGACGGUACCUGUCCAGAAAGCCCCGGCUAACUACGUGCCAGCAGCCGCGGUAAUACGUAGGGGGCAAGCGUUGUCCGGAAUUAUUGGGCGUAAAGGGCACGCAGGCGGUUUCGUCAGUCCGAUGUGACAGGCCACGGCUCAACCGUGGAAGGCCAUUGGAAACUGCGAAACUUGAGGACAGAAGAGGAGAGUGGAAUUCCACGUGUAGCGGUGAAAUGCGUAGAUAUGUGGAGGAACACCAGUGGCGAAGGCGACUCUCUGGUCUGUACCUGACGCUGAGGUGCGAAAGCAUGGGGAGCAAACAGGAUUAGAUACCCUGGUAGUCCAUGCCGUAAACGCUGAGUGCUAGGUGUUAGGGGUUUCGAUACCCGUAGUGCCGAAGCUAACGCAUUAAGCACUCCGCCUGGGGAGUACGACCGCAAGGUUGAAACUCAAAGGAAUUGACGGGGGCCCGCACAAGCGGUGGAGCAUGUGGUUUAAUUCGACGCAACGCGAAGAACCUUACCAGAUCUUGACAUCUUCCGCUACGCCUCGAGAGAGGCGGUUCCCCUUCGGGGGACGGAAUGACAGGUGGUGCAUGGUUGUCGUCAGCUCGUGUCGUGAGAUGUUGGGUUAAGUCCCGCAACGAGCGCAACCCCUAAUCUUAGUUGCCAGCAUUCAGUUGGGCACUCUAAGGUGACUGCCGGUGACAAACCGGAGGAAGGUGGGGAUGACGUCAAAUCAUCAUGCCCCUUAUGAUCUGGGCUACACACGUGCUACAAUGGAUGGUACAACGGGACGCGAACCCGCGAGGGGGAACCAAUCCAGAAAAGCCAUUCUCAGUUCGGAUUGCAGGCUGCAACUCGCC